AAAGCAGGCCAUAUAUUUUCCUUACUGAAAAUUCACAACUAUAUCUUUUUACAUGCAUCUCAUAGUAUUCUACAAUACUAUAUAUAUGCGGCUCUGGUCUAACGUCUAUUCACAUGCAAACAAGGUCUGACAAGACAGGACAGGAUCUCGGUCCUCAUCCGGGUCGUACUCGAUGUCAUACUCGGGGUCCUCCUCCACGUACUCCUCUUCAGGUUCCUCAACAAGGACCUCCUCGUCAGAUUCAUGCUCCUUAGGCUCCUCAUCCAGAUCCUGAAAUGGUUAUUCAAUAACCACUGAGACAAUGUCUCAGCAAGUUCUACCUCCUAAGACCCGAUUAGUAAACUAAUACACCUUAGGGCUGCCUAUGCACAACAUGAGUCAGAGGACUUACCUUGGCCUCAGAUUCCACCUGCAGAUUAGCACAGAUCAAAUAGGCACCCAAGCAAUCACAUCACAGAUCGAAGCAUCGAUCAAAUCGACCGAGUCGAUUACACGCCAACAAGACCACUCACGGUCACUUUCAUUCAAUCAACCAAUUCACAAUAUCAGAUUAAAACAAUGAUCAAUCGACCUAGUCGAUUACAUGUCAUACCAAUCAUUCUCCACGGAGGAGUACCUAAAAGCUAGAACACGUGCAUUUUCAAGGACGACAUUCCAAGUCUCCGAGCCACGUGCCUCGAACCUUGGGCCCACGUGCAUUCUCUAAGGCGACCUCUUCGCCAAGGUGAUACAUCAAGUCACCGAGCCACGUGCCCUUUUAGAUGCUAUUUCCGAAUACUGGACCCACGUGCAUUCUCUAAGGCACUAGUUCACCAAAGUGACGCAUCAGAUCACCGAGCCACGUGUCCUUUUAGAUGCCGUUCUCAAACACUGGACCCACGUGCAUUCUCUAAGGUACUCGCUUACCAAAGUGACACAUCAGAUCACCGAGCCACGUGUCCUUUUA
rnacentral:lncRNA from 1 species